UACGAAGGGGGCUAGCGUUGUUCGGAAUUACUGGGCGUAAAGCGUGCGCAGGCGGCUGCUCAAGUCAGGUGUGAAAGCCCAGAGCUCAACUCUGGAAUUGCCUUUGAGACUGAGUGGCUUGAGUACGGGAGAGGUGAGUGGAAUUCCCAGUGUAGAGGUGAAAUUCGUAGAUAUUGGGAAGAACACCGGUGGCGAAGGCGGCGGCCUGGUCCGACACUGACGCUGAGGCGCGAAAGCGUGGGGAGCAAACAGG
rnacentral:rRNA from 1 species